UACGGAGGGGGCAAGCGUUGUUCGGAUUUACUGGGCGUAAAGGGUGUGUAGGCGGCUGGACAAGUCUGAUGUGAAAUCUUCACCGCUCAACGGGGAAGGGGUCAUUGGAAACUGUUCAGCUUGAGUAUGGUAGAGGCAAGCGGAAUUCCUGGUGUAGCGGUGGAAUGCGCAGAUAUCAGGAGGAACACCAAUGGCGAAGGCAGCUCGCUGGGACGGUACUGACGCUGAGACGCGAAAGCGUGGGGGAGCAAACAGG
rnacentral:rRNA from 1 species